UUAAGGGAUGUGGUGGUCCAUUCUUGGAAGGCGGUGACUCAGGUUCUCUCGUUUUCUUUCAUGACAAGAAUAACCAGAAACAGGUGUUUGCCUAUGGGGUUUGCGAAGUGAAGCAAGAUUUUCAGAUGAACUGGGCCCUUUUGAAAAAGCUGCGUCGGCCUUCUUUCUCAUAUCUUCUCACAUUCUCGACAUUCCAUCUUAUAAAAGUCAGA